UGGAAAUGUAAAGGAUCUAGAAUAACCAAAAUAAUUUUGAGAAAGAACAAAGUUGAAAGAUUUAAAAUUGUUGACUUCAAGAGUUACUAAAAACCUAUAGUAAUCAAGAGAGUAUGGUGUUGGUAUAAGACAAGAAAGAUCAACAAAAGAAAUAAAAAGUCCAGAAAUAGACGUUCACUUAUAAGAUCAACUGAUUUCUCAUAAAGGUGUCAUAGCAACUUAAUGGGGGAAUUAAUGAUUUUGAAUAAAUGAUGCUGGAAUACCUGGAUAUCUGUGGAUAAAAGAGGCAUUUAUGUAAUUCCACUUGCUCAUUGAAUUCAAAUGCAAUCAGAAUUUGUAAGGAAAGCCAAUGGACUUGACAUGAAAAGGUGACGUUGCUGAAACCCUUUCAGUGGAGUUUACGGACAGAAGGUAGAAUGUUGAGGUUUGAGGGGGUGGAAGUGGCAAUGAGGAUGCUGAGAAGAGACGAUCGUCAGGAAGUGAGGCAGUGAAGCAAUCACUAAGGAAGCAAAGUAGAUUGGAACUCAGACAACAGAGCUGUGAUGGGACCUUUUUAUUCACGAUGAGAGCUCAACAAUUUCAAGAUGAAGGGAGGGCUGAGAGGCAGAAGGAAGAUCGCUGAUGGCUCUCAUGAGCCCAGCAGAGAGGAGGAUAUGCUGUCUGUACUAAAGCCAGAAGGCUUGGGAAUGGAGAGAACUACUCCUGCCUCAGAGUAGCAGAGAACGAGGAAGGAGACAACCAUGGAAACCUGCAGAUGGAGCAGUCAGGCAGAGAACAGAGACUCUCAGCUGAAGCUGAGACAGCU
rnacentral:lncRNA from 1 species